rnacentral:rRNA from 1 species
GACGAACGCUGGCGGCGUGCUUAACACAUGCAAGUCGAACGGAAGGCCCUGCUUUUGUGGGGUGCUCGAGUGGCGAACGGGUGAGUAACACGUGAGUAACCUGCCCUUGACUUUGGGAUAACUUCAGGAAACUGGGGCUAAUACCGGAUAGGAGCUCCUGCUGCAUGGUGGGGGUUGGAAAGUUUCGGCGGUUGGGGAUGGACUCGCGGCUUAUCAGCUUGUUGGUGGGGUAGUGGCUUACCAAGGCUUUGACGGGUAGCCGGCCUGAGAGGGUGACCGGCAACAUGGGGAUGGGGAUCGGGCCCGGCUUCUUACGGGGGGAGGCGUGGGGAAUAUUGCACAAUGGGCGGAAGCCUGAUGCAGCAACGCCGCGUGCGGGAUGACGGCCUUCGGGUUGUAAACCGCUUUCGCCUGUGACGAAGCGUGAGUGACGGUAAUGGGUAAAGAAGCACCGGCUAACUACGUG